CGUAACAAGGUCUCCGUUGGUGAACCAGCGGAGGGAUCAUUACCGAGUUUACAACUCCCAAACCCCUGUGAACAUACCUUAUGUUGCCUCGGCGGAUCAGCCCGCGCCCCGUAAAAAGGGACGGCCCGCCGCAGGAACCCUAAACUCUGUUUUUAGUGGAACUUCUGAGUAUAAAAAACAAAUAAAUCAAAACUUUCAACAACGGAUCUCUUGGUUCUGGCAUCGAUGAAGAACGCAGCAAAAUGCGAUAAGUAAUGUGAAUUGCAGAAUUCAGUGAAUCAUCGAAUCUUUGAACGCACAUUGCGCCCGCCAGUAUUCUGGCGGGCAUGCCUGUUCGAGCGUCAUUUCAACCCUCAAGCCCAGCUUGGUGUUGGGAGCUGCAGUCCUGCUGCACUCCCCAAAUACAUUGGCGGUCACGUCGAGCUUCCAUAGCGUAGUAAUUUACACAUCGUUACUGGUAAUCGUCGCGGCCACGCCGUUAAACCCCAACUUCUGAAUGUUGACCUCGGAUCAGGUAGGAAUACCCGCUGAACUUAAGCAUAUCA
rnacentral:rRNA from 1 species